AACCGCAGGACGCUGGGCCUUGCGUCCUAGUCGCUGGGAACUGUGCAGCAUCUUCUCACGUCGUCCCCUAUGACCUGCAGCCGACAGUCCCGGCGCACUGGGCUCAGUGCCUGGCAGGUGUCCGGUGCUCAGCAACUGUGGAACAGCUGCCCAGCAGGAAAGAAGGAAAGGACAGACGCAUCCCGGUGAGGUGGCGUGGCCCAUCAUGUCAUGGAGAAUCAGGGAAAGACUGCUUGUGAGCCAGCCAGCCGGGGGAGAGAGGAGACCCUUGAGAGGUGUCCCCAUCCUGUCAAGAAGCGGCUGGAGCACGUGCUGCUGAGAUGAGUCCACUGUGUGCAAAGGUGUCAUGGAAGUUGUCAUGUCGGAAGUGGUCUAGACCCCAGUGUCCUUGAGCUUGAAGGAAGACGAGAUAACAUUGGAGAGUUAUCCCUGGUCCUGACCUCCUGCCCCGUGGCCUCCUCAUCACUCUGGGGUGCUGCCUUGAAGGAAGCCUCAAGGGAUGGAAGCUCUGGCCUCUCAGGAUGGUGACCUGGGUCCCAGCUCCCCUGGAAGGGCCUCCUCAUGGUUGUUUUGGGGCUGUUCACGGAUGCUGGCGUAGCAGAGUGAAGAGGGAUGUUGCCGCUGAUCAUCACCAGACCUUCUUCUCCUGUUGCCUUAGCACAGUAUGGAAGGACUUUGCCCCAGUGAGCGGGGCAGAGGGAAAGUCCUGGGACUCUGGGGACUUGGGAUUCAGAACUGGAGACCUUCAGCUGUCUCUGCCCUUCCCAGCAGGGGCCACAGAGCACCGCGGACCCAGAAGACUGCUUUCCUUCCGUCUGGACCAGGUCAUCCAGUGGCCUCCGUGUUCCCUUGUCUGCUCCUGGUGUAACUUUUUAGAAACAAGAGUUCCCAUUGGAGUCUUCUGUGCUGGGCAUCGUGUCCUCUCACCCACUUCAGUAAAUCUUCAAACUGC